rnacentral:rRNA from 1 species
CACUUCGGUGGUGAGCGGCGAACGGGUGAGUAACACGGURGGUGAUCUGCCCAUCAGACGGGGACAACGAUUGGAAACGAUCGCUAAUACCGGAUAGGACGAAAGUUUAAAGGUGCUUCUGGCACCGCUGAUGGAUGAGCCUGCGGCGCAUUAGCUAGUUGGUAGGGUAAAGGCCUACCAAGGCGACCAUUCCUAGGCGACCUGAGAGGGUGAACGGCCACACUGGGACUGAGACACGGCCCAGACUCCUACGGGAGGCAGCAGUAGGGAAUCUUCGGCAAUGGGCGAAAGCCUGACCGAGCAACGCCGCGUGAAUGAUGAAGGCCUUCGGGUUGUAAAAUUCUGUUAUAAGGGAAGAACGACUUUAGUAGGAAAUGGCUAGAGUGUGACGGUACCUUAUGAGAAAGCCACGGCUAACUACGUGCCAGCAGCCGCGGUAAUACGUAGGUGGCGAGCGUUAUCCGGAAAUUAUUGGGCGUAAAGAGCGCGCAGGUGGUUGAUUAA